GCCGGUGUGGCGAAAUUGGCAGACGCAAGGGACUUAAAAUCCCUCGGAGUGAGAGCUCCGUACCGGUUCGAGUCCGGUCACCGGCACCA
rnacentral:tRNA from 1 species